rnacentral:tRNA from 1 species
GAGCCCGUGGCUCAAUAGUAGAGCGUUGGACUAAAAUACCAAAGGUCGCGGGUUCG